GACGUAGGGUGCGAGCGUUGUCCGGAUUUAUUGGGCGUAAAGAGCUCGUAGGCGGCUCGUCGCGUCAGCUGUGAAAACCCGCAGCUUAACUGUGGGCUUGCAGCUGAUACGGGCGGGCUAGAGUUCGGUAGGGGAGACUGGAAUUCCACGUGUAGCAGUGAAAUGCGUAGAGAUGUGGAGGAACACCGAUGGCGAAGGCAGCCCCCUGGGCUAAGAUUGACGCUCAGGCACGAAAGCGUGGGGAGCAAACAGG
rnacentral:rRNA from 1 species